rnacentral:rRNA from 1 species
UACGUAGGGGGCAAGCGUUGUCCGGAAUCAUUAGGCGUAAAGAGCGUGUAGGCGGCUUGGUAAGUCCGCUGUGAAAGUCCAGGGCUCAACCCUGGAAUGCCGGUGGAAACUGUCAAGCUUGAGUCCGGAAGAGGCGAGUGGAAUUCCUGGUGUAGCGGUGAAAUGCGCAGAUAUCAGGAGGAACACCAAUGGCGAAGGCAGCUCGCAGGGACGGUACUGACGCUGAGACGCGAAAGCGUGGGGAGCAAACAGG